UGAGCAAUCUGCCCUUCUCUUUGGAAUAAGCGUUGGAAACGACGUCUAAUGCCGAAUACGACCUCCUUUCGCAUGAUCGGAGGUGGAAAGCUCCGGCGGAGAAGGAUGAGCUCGCGGCCUAUCAGCUAGUUGGUGUGGGUAAUGGCCCACCAAGGCGACGACGGGUAGCCGGCCUGAGAGGGUGACCGGCCACACUGGGACUGAGACACGGCCAGACUCCGUACGGGAGG
rnacentral:rRNA from 1 species